rnacentral:rRNA from 1 species
GGGACUGCGGCAGCCUACCAUGCAAGUCGAACGGUAGCACAGAGAGCUUGCUCUCGGGUGACGAGUGGCGGACGGGUGAGUAAUGUCUGGGAAACUGCCUGAUGGAGGGGGAUAACUACUGGAAACGGUAGCUAAUACCGCAUAACGUCGCAAGACCAAAGAGGGGGACCUUCGGGCCUCUUGCCAUCAGAUGUGCCCAGAUGGGAUUAGCUAGUAGGUGGGGUAACGGCUCACCUAGGCGACGAUCCCUAGCUGGUCUGAGAGGAUGACCAGCCACACUGGAACUGAGACACGGUCCAGACUCCUACGGGAGGCAGCAGUGGGGAAUAUUGCACAAUGGGCGCAAGCCUGAUGCAGCCAUGCCGCGUGUAUGAAGAAGGCCUUCGGGUUGUAAAGUAC